CUGGAUGUUCCUCCACUUUACCCACCGUAUCAAACAACUUUUACCAGUAAAUAUCGGUUUAUUCCUGAAACCAGAAGCCCUAAACAUACCUUUGUUUAUAAGCCUGGGUGGUUCUGAUUGCUGGCAGUUCUGUAAUACAACUUUAAUCUGAGCAGUUGAGGCUGGUCCUACAUUAUCUUCAGACGUCUUGCGGAGGACUCCUGUUACCAGUUUGGUACUCAAAAGCUACACCCCACCAUCAGAAGUCACUUUUUUUUUUUUUUCAAAGGCAGUGACAGAUUACCCUCUCUAGCUCUAAUGUAAAAAUGAUAAUUGCAAUGCAACUUUCUAAUAAAUCGUUCAUAUAUUCAUAAUUCCAUUGCAAUCCCAAAUUGGAGAAGAGAUCUGUUAAAGGUAUAUAUUAGUCUAGAUUUUUUCUUAUUGUAAAUACUGUAAUUUUAUAAUACUGUCAAUAUUUUAUUAACUUAGAAAUAUUUAACAGAGUUUAAUCUAUGGUAGUUGAUUUAUUUAUAGGUUUAUGUUGCAGCCAAUAUUGCAUUACAUUCUAAUGUAAGAUUAACUUUCAGCAUGUAAACAUUGAUUUAAUGUAUCAAUGAAAAGAUUAAGAGAGAAAACUCUUGCUCUUAAUCUGUAAUAUUUAUCCCCAAAUCCCCAGUUUGGAAUUAUCUAAUGAAAUACUAGGAGGUUUCAAGAGUUCAUGAAUCUUAACAACUGCAGUUGGAUUUGAAAACUUGAAUUUUGAAACGUACCUGGCUUUUUCACCCUGUGAACAAGUUUGCUUCAAUAUCUAAUCUAUAUAUUACGGAAGUCUUUAUUUUGAGCAAAGGGACACUGUCAGAUCAAUUUUAGAUUCUU